GUGCGACCACAUCAUGUCGAAAAACAGGUUCCCGUACGAUCACCGAAGUUAAACAAGGUCGGGACUGCUCAGUAACAGUAAGGGUGACAACUUGGGAAUACCACCUGCUGUAAG